rnacentral:rRNA from 1 species
UACGGAGGGGGCUAGCGUUGUUCGGAAUUACUGGGCGUAAAGCGCGCGUAGGCGGAUCUGCAAGUCGGGGGUGAAAUCCCGAGGCUCAACCUCGGAACUGCCUUCGAUACUGCGGGUCUCGAGUCCGGGAGAGGUGAGUGGAAUUCCGUAGUGUAGAGGUGAAAUUCGUAGAUAUUAGGAAGAACACCAGUGGCGAAGGCGGCUCACUGGCCCGGUACUGACGCUGAGGCGCGAAAGCGUGGGGAGCAAACAGGG